rnacentral:tRNA from 1 species
GGCACUGUGGCUCAAGUGGUAGAGUACUGGUCUUGAGCAGAAGAAGCUCAGGGCCAGUGCCCAGGCCCUGAGUUCAAGCCUCAGGACUGCCA